rnacentral:rRNA from 1 species
UUACAGUAGGUGACCUGCGGAGGAUCAUUG